GGGUUUGAUGUGUAUCGUUUUGGAUUUAUUGGAUAUGAUGUGUUGCACAUAGUUUUUAAGUUUUCUUCUCUAAUUUCAUUGUCUUUACUCGUCAAUUUGUCUUGUCAAAAACUUACUCUAAGGGGGCGACUGGUUUUUCCGCUACCACCCGCAAAUGAAGCUUUUGCGGUUGGUAGUGGUUGUCGGCGGUUUGCAACAAUCACUCAAAUUGCUCUAAACCGCUUCAAACCGCUCUGAAUCUCAUAAAUUCAAAAGCUGGCUCCAGCUAGCGGUUGCGGGAAGGUAAUUUUUUUUUCUUUUUUUUAAAACAAUAUGUAUACAAAAGUAAAAAUAUUUAAUAAAAAAUUUAAAAUUGAAAUUAUGAAAAUAUUAAAAUAUAUCUAUUAUAUUUUAAUUAAUAUUAUAAAAUUUUAUAAUAAAAGUAAUUUCAAUAAAUUUUCAAAAAUUAAAAUUAUAACUUUCUAAAUAUAAAUUUUAUAUUUAUUAUAAUUUUAUGAUUUUUUAUAUUUUUAUAAUUAUAUUAAAUGUAAAUAUUGUUAAUUUAUUAUUUGACUGUUUCCGCAUUUGGUAG
rnacentral:lncRNA from 1 species